UACGUAGGGGGCAAGCGUUAUCCGGAUUUACUGGGUGUAAAGGGGGCGCAGACGGCGAUGCAAGCCAGGAGUGAAAGCCCGGGGCCCAACCCCGGGACUGCUCUGGAAACUGUACGGCUGGAGUACGGGAGGGGCAGGCGGAAUUCCUAGUGUAGCGGUGAAAUGCGUAGAUAUUAGGAGGAACACCGGCGGCGAAGGCGGCCUGCUGGACCGAAACUGACGUUGAGGCUCGAAAGCGUGGGGAGCAAACAGG
rnacentral:rRNA from 1 species